UGAAAAGAACUGAGGUGAUCAGAGUGAAAUAGAACCUGAAACCAUUUGCUUACAAUCAUUCAGAGCCCUAUGUAGCAAUACAGGGUGAUGGACUGCCUUUUGCAUAAUGAGCCUGCGAGUUGUGGUGUCUGGCAAGGUUAAGCAAACGCGAAGCCGUAGCGAAAGCGAGUCUGAAUAGGGCGCUUAGUCAGAUGCUGCAGACCCGAAACGAAGUGAUCUAUCCAUGAGCAAGUUGAAGCUAGUGUAAGAACUAGUGGAGGACUGAACCCAUAGGCGUUGAAAAGCCCCGGGAUGACUUGUGGAUAGGGGUGAAAGGCCAAUCAAACUUCGUGAUAGCUGGUUCUCUCCGAAAUAUAUUUAGGUAUAGCGUUGUGUCGUAAUAUAAGGGGGUAGAGCACUGAAUGGGCUAGGGCAUACACCAAUGUACCAAACCCUAUCAAACUCCGAAUACCUUAUAUGUAAUCACAGCAGUCAGGCGGCGAGUGAUAAAAUCCGUCGUCAAGAGGGAAACAACCCAGACUACCAGCUAAGGUCCCUAAAUCUUACUUAAGUGGAAAACGAUGUGAAGUUACUUAAACAACCAGGAGGUUGGCUUAGAAGCAGCCAUCCUUUAAAGAAAGCGUAAUAGCUCACUGGUCUAGUGAUUUUGCGCGGAAAAUAUAACGGGGCUAAAGU
rnacentral:rRNA from 2 species